ACAUCGGUGGUUCAGUGGUAGAACUCUCACCUUCCACACAAUAGACCCGGGUUCAAUUCCUGCUCAAUGUA
rnacentral:tRNA from 1 species